AACCGGGGGAACUGAAACAUCUAAGUACCCCGAGGAAAAGAAAUCAACCGAGAUUCCCCCAGUAGCGGCGAGCGAACGGGGAGCAGCCCGGAGUCUGAAUCAGCUUGUGUGUUAGUGGAACGGUCUGGAAAGUCCGACGGUACAGGGUGAUAGUCCCGUACACGAAAAUGCACAUGCUGUGAACUCGAAGAGUAGGGCGGGACACGUG
rnacentral:rRNA from 1 species